AGUUCCUGUGGAGGGAGCAUGACUUUACAGAGAAGCCACCUAAACAGAUACAGGACAAGUCAAAGAUACAGGCCCAUAAAGAAGAAGCUCUAACUGGACUGAGCGCCUGAGUCGGGAGCUUGGGCCGCGACACCGGAUGCCCGCUCCCAAGCAGAGACCUUGUCUUCUGCACCAUUCCAAGCUCAUUCAUGGUACCGCGUCCCAGCCAGGUAGGAAAGACCAGCUUUCCUUAGGCUCUCAUGUCACAUUCAUCGGCGAGAGCUCGGCAUCCUCCCAGCGACACUGCUUUACUGGACGUGUGCUCCAGAGGAAGAGGGCAGAGGCGUCACGGAGACACCUCUGCAAGGGGCGGGAGCCUGCAGCUGGACCUGCGACUCCUCAGAACUGUCCCUUCAGGAAUGAAAAAGACCCCAAACGCUUCUGAUCUGCACAGAAGUCCCGGCUGAACGUCUGUAGUCAGUGAAUGUUUCCUUUAUCUCAGCCCAAGGUGUCAAUAGCGCAGAGAGAGGAAGUCAAGCCAGCCCGGUCUCUAUUCUGUUUCUAGAAGGUCUGUGGUGAUUUGGAAGUCAUUCUUCCAUCCGCAGCUCACUGCCUAGCCCUCUCUGUAGUGGAUUCAUACGCGUUUCCCCCAGGAGGAGUCCUGUGUCCUUUGUCUCCUCAACAGCACACAGUGGAAGUGACUGGAACAGAAGCUAGUCCUGAGACAGUGUGAUACCAGAGAACAGAGAUCCAGCCCACAUCUGAUCAACUGUGCUAACUGGCUCUUCUGAUUCCGGUCUCCUGCCUUUCCACCCACACACGGCUUUGUAUAGAGAUGAUAGAAAAUAAUAAUGAUGAUAAUAAUAGUUCUACGGAUGGGGUGGUGGAGCAGCCAAUAAUGCAGACACCUAUCCAUGUGCCCCGGUUCCUGCCUGCAGGGGGAGGAGCUUCACGAGCAGUGGAGCACGGCUUCAGGGUCUCUCUUUGCUCUCCCUCUCUGUCCUUCUAUCCUGCUGCCUUCCCUCUCAAUUUCUAUCCAUGCCUCUCUCACUCAGAAAAAAAAAGGAGGGGGGAUGAAUUUCAUCAAAAUUGCAGAAAAAUAGCAAUGCAUAAAGUCACUCUAAAGUAAAGCACAUUGAACCCAUGUGAAUUCACCAACGUGGAACCUUCAGCUACAUGGACAGGGCAGUGGCUUUUAAUAAAGAUUUGGCUGUGGAAUUUC